rnacentral:rRNA from 1 species
GUAUCUCAGAUUGAACGCUGGCGGCAGGCCUAACACAUGCAAGUCGAGCGGGGUUUUCGGACCUAGCGGCGGACGGGUGAGUAAUGCGUAGGAAGCUGCCCGAUAGAGGGGGAUACCAGUUGGAAACGACUGUUAAUACCGCAUAAUGUCUACGGACCAAAGUGUGGGACCUUCGGGCCACAUGCUAUCGGAUGCGCCUACGUGGGAUUAGCUAGUUGGUGAGGUAAUGGCUCACCAAGGCGACGAUCUCUAGCUGGUUUGAGAGGAUGAUCAGCCACACUGGAACUGAGACACGGUCCAGACUCCUACGGGAGGCAGCAGUGGGGAAUAUUGGACAAUGGGCGCAAGCCUGAUCCAGCCAUGCCGCGUGUGUGAAGAAGGCCUUCGGGUUGUAAAGCACUUUCAGCGAGGAGGAAGGGUUAGUCGUUAAUAGCGGCUAAUUUUGACGUUACUCGCAGAAGAAGCACCGGCUAACUCUGUGCCAGCAGCCGCGGUAAUACAGAGGGUGCAAGCGUUAAUCGGAAUUACUGGGCGUAAAGCGCACGUAGGCGGUUUUUUAAGUCAGAUGUGAAAGCCCCGGGCUCAACCUGGGAAUUGCAUUUGAAACUGGGGAACUAGAGUGUGUGAGAGGGGGGUAGAAUUCCAAGUGUAGCGGUGAAAUGCGUAGAGAUUUGGAGGAAUACCAGUGGCGAAGGCGGCCCCCUGGCACAACACUGACGCUCAGGUGCGAAAGCGUGGGGAGCAAACAGGAUUAGAUACCCUGGUAGUCCACGCCGUAAACGAUGUCUACUAGCUGUUCGUGUCCUUGUGAUGUGAGUAGCGCAGCUAACGCACUAAGUAGACCGCCUGGGGAGUACGGUCGCAAGAUUAAAACUCAAAUGAAUUGAC